rnacentral:rRNA from 1 species
AGAUUGAACGCUGGCGGCAGGCCUAACACAUGCAAGUCGAGCGGCAGCACGGGUACUUGUACCUGGUGGCGAGCGGCGGACGGGUGAGUAAUGCCUAGGAAUCUGCCUGGUAGUGGGGGAUAACGCUCGGAAACGGACGCUAAUACCGCAUACGUCCUACGGGAGAAAGCAGGGGACCUUCGGGCCUUGCGCUAUCAGAUGAGCCUAGGUCGGAUUAGCUAGUUGGUGAGGUAAUGGCUCACCAAGGCGACGAUCCGUAACUGGUCUGAGAGGAUGAUCAGUCACACUGGAACUGAGACACGGUCCAGACUCCUACGGGAGGCAGCAGUGGGGAAUAUUGGACAAUGGGCGAAAGCCUGAUCCAGCCAUGCCGCGUGUGUGAAGAAGGUCUUCGGAUUGUAAAGCACUUUAAGUUGGAGGAAGGCAGUUACCUAAUACGUAUCUGUUUUGACGUUACCGACAGAAUAAGCACCGGCUAACUCUAGUG